UACGUAGGUGACCAGCGUUGUCCGGAUUUACUGGGCGUAAAGAGCGCGCAGGCGGUCGUUCAAGUCGAGUGUGAAAGCCCCCGGCUCAACUGGGGAGGGUCAUUCGAUACUGAUCGACUCGAAGGCAGGAGAGGGGAGCGGAAUUCCCGGUGUAGUGGUGAAAUGCGUAGAUAUCGGGAGGAACACCAGUGGCGAAGGCGGCUUCCUGGCCUGUUCUUGACGCUGAGGCGCGAAAGCUAGGGGAGCAAACGGG
rnacentral:rRNA from 1 species